rnacentral:lncRNA from 7 species
UUUAUUCCUUUAGAAGUUUGAGGGAGAUGGAGUUGUUACUGUGUGACCGCUAUGAGGGAGGUUGUGGUGAAGUGGCCUCUUCUCCCAGUAACAGCUACAGGACGUCAGAAUGAAGGGAAAUCUCUCCCUGUUGCUCGCUGGUGGUUUCUCCUGUGCCAUGCCAAGGUGUGAGCCUACAGAUUUCGGCACUUCUUUCCUGGAUCUGUUUGAAGAAUGAACGUCACUGAGAAGGCUGUGUGAUCCAAACCAGCUUUCCUGGCCUGAGCUGUUCAUUACCAUCACACCAAGCAUGACUGUAAAUGACCUUCUGUACCCUUGAUUGUAACUUCUGAGUACAGUAAACACCGCCUGGACAUCGCCUCUGCAAAAAUCUCCCCUUUCUUCCCCUGGGGCUCUUGUCAGCUCCAGGAUGACAGGAAGCAUCUGCAUCAGCUCCCAGCAACACUUCAGUGGUGCUUGCAGACAAAUUCGUAUUUCCCAAAGAUGGGAAGAAGAUUCCCAGAAGAAGGAGGUCAACUGCCUCAGACAGAAGGGCCAUGGAAGAGCCCCUUGGACACUCCCCUUGGCGGACAAUAUGCUGAUGCACGUUAGUGACUUGAUAGCGAGCUCUUGCUUUGUGGGGGCUGCUGAAGGAUGUCCUUGGUGCUUCUGUGCAGUUACGGGCUCACUGAGUCUCUUCACCAGCAUGCCACUGUGGGUUUGGCUGCAAGGCUUUCAAAGCCUGAGUGCAGCGAGCAGUGCCCGGGUGGCGUUUCUGAUGGCAUCCAUGAUGUGUCUUCUGGUAGAGGAAUGAAUAGAGCUGCUAACCACUGACCCUUGCAAACCUGCCAGAGGGAAAAAAAACAAUAAAGGAAAGUAGGCAGCAGAGCAGGGCCACACUAUUUCUAGCAACUGAGAGCUCUGAUCAGGAGAUGGACAGGUGAGGAUUUCAUUGCACUGGGGGGCAGGCUGCAGUGUCUUCCAGGCCCGAGCGGUCUGCCUGCUGUGGGGCUGCACGCCAGCAUACCCAAUAGUGUGCUAACUGUUGCUGUUUAAUCUCCAGCAUCUUGUUUGACGCCUCGGUGUAAUAAUGAUGGAAAUAAUAAAUGGCGUGC